rnacentral:rRNA from 1 species
UACGUAGGGUGCGAGCGUUGUCCGGAAUUAUUGGGCGUAAAGGGCUCGUAGGCGGUCUGUUGCGUCGGGAGUGAAAACUCAGGGCUUAACCCUGAGCCUGCUUCCGAUACGGGCAGACUAGAGGUAUGCAGGGGAGAACGGAAUUCCUGGUGUAGCGGUGAAAUGCGCAGAUAUCAGGAGGAACACCGGUGGCGAAGGCGGUUCUCUGGGCAGUAACUGACGCUGAGGCACGAAGGCCAGGGGAGCAAACGGG